GGGCGUAAGAGCUCGUAGGCGGUUUGUCGCGUCUGCCGUGAAAGUCCGGGGCUCAACUCCGGAUCUGCGGUGGGUACGGGCAGACUAGAGUGAUGUAGGGGAGACUGGAAUUCCUGGUGUAGCGGUGAAAUGCGCAGAUAUCAGGAGGAACACCGAUGGCGAAGGCAGGUCUCUGGGCAUUAACUGACGCUGAGGAGCGAAAGCAUGGGGAGCGAACAGGAUUAGAUACCCUGGUAGUCCAUGCCGUAAACGUUGGGCACUAGGUGUGGGGGACAUUCCACGUUUUCCGCGCCGUAGCUAACGCAUUAAGUGCCCCGCCUGGGGAGUACGGCCGCAAGGCUAAAACUCAAAGGAAUUGACGGGGGCCCGCACAAGCGGCGGAGCAUGCGGAUUAAUUCGAUGCAACGCGAAGAACCUUACCAAGGCUUGACAUGAACCGGAAAGACCUGGAAACAGGUGCCCCGCUUGCGGUCG
rnacentral:rRNA from 1 species